UCCUACGGGACGCAGCAGUGGGGGAUAUUGCACAAUGGGGGGAACCCUGAUGCAGCGACGCCGCGUGGGUGAAGAAGCGCCUCGGCGCGUAAAGCACUGUCAGCAGGGAAGAAAAUGACGGUACCUGAAGAAGAAGCCCCGGCUAACUACGUGCCAGCAGCCGCGGUAAUACGUAGGGGGCAAGCGUUAUCCGGAUUUACUGGGUGUAGAGGGAGCGUAGACGGCAUUGCAAGUCCGGAGUGAAAGCCUACGGCCCAACCGUG
rnacentral:rRNA from 1 species